AUCCUAUUAUAUUUCAUAAGCAUGAUUGGGUUUAUACACCAUUGUGUGAGAUGUGCCUCAAAUCUUUUUUUAUAAUAUCAGCACAUGUCCCAUCUGAAG